AACGAACGCUGGCGGCAUGCCUAACACAUGCAAGUCGAACGAGACCUUCGGGUCUAGUGGCGCACGGGUGCGUAACGCGUGGGAACCUGCCCUAGGUUCGGAAUAACCCCCCGGAAGGGGUGCUAAUACCGGAUAAUGUCUUCGGACCAAAGAUUUAUCGCCUUUGGAUGGGCCCGCGUUGGAUUAGCUAGUUGGUAGGGUAAAAGCCUACCAAGGCGACGAUCCAUAGCUGGUCUGAGAGGAUGAUCAGCCACACUGGGACUGAGACACGGCCCAGACUCCUACGGGAGGCAGCAGUGGGGAAUAUUGGACAAUGGGCGAAAGCCUGAUCCAGCAAUGCCGCGUGAGUGAUGAAGGCCUUAGGGUUCUAAAGCUCUUUUACCCGGGAUGAUAAUGACAGUACCGGGAGAAUAAGCUCCGGCUAACUCCGUG
rnacentral:rRNA from 1 species